rnacentral:rRNA from 1 species
AUUCAACGCUGGCGGCAUGCCUUACACAUGCAAGUCGAACGGCAGCACGGACUUCGGUCUGGUGGCGAGUGGCGAACGGGUGAGUAAUACAUCGGAACGUGCCCAGGAAUGGGGGAUAACGCCGCGAAAGGUGUGCUAAUACCGCAUAAGCUCUGACGGUGAAAGUGGCGGAGCGCAAGACCUCAUGUUGGUGGAGCGGCCGGUGGCUGAUUAGCUAGUUGGUGAGGUAAAGGUUCACCAAGGCGACGCACAGUAGCUGGUCGGAGGGGAGGACGAGCCAAACGGGGACUGAGCAACGGCCAGGAUUCCGCGGGAAGGCAGCAGUGGGAAAUUUUGGACAUUGGGCGAAAGCCUGAUCUAGCAAUGCCGCGGGAGCGAAGAACGCCUUCGGGUUGUAAAGCACUUCUGUCGGGGAGGAAAACCGUUGGGCUAAUACCCGGAUAGGAUGACGGUACCUGAAGAAUAAGCACCGGCUAACUACGUGCCAGCCGCCGCAGUAA